AGGUUACUGCUAUCGAGGUUCGACUAAGCCAUGCGAGUCGAAUGUAGCAAUACAUGGCGAACUGCUCAGUAACACGUGGACAACCUGCCCUUAGGACGGGGAUAAACCCGGGAAACUGGGUAUAAUACCCGAUAGGUCUCGAUUGCUGGAAUGCAUCGAGAUUUAAAGCUCCGGCGCCUAAGGAUGGGUCUGCGGCCUAUCAGGUAGUAGUGGGUGUAGCGUACCUACUAGCCUACGACGGGUACGGGUUGUGAGAGCAAGAGCCCGGAGAUGGAUUCUGAGACACGAAUCCAGGCCCUACGGGGUGCAGCAGGCGCGAAAACUUUACAAUGCUGGCAACAGCGAUAAGGGAACCUCGAGUGCCAGGUUACAAAUCUGGCUGUCGAGAUGCCUAAAAAGCAUUUCAUAGCAAGGGCCGGGCAAGACCGGUGCCAGCCGCCGCGGUAACACCGGCGACUCGAGUGGUAACUGUUAUUAUUGGGUCUAAAGGGUCUGUAGCCGGCCGGAUAAGUCUCUUGAGAAAUCUGGCAGCUUAACUGCCAGGCUUUCAGGAGAUACUGUCUGGCUCGAGGCCGGGAGAGGUGAGAGGUACUUCAGGGGUAGGGGUGAAAUCUUGUAAUCCUUGAAGGACCACCAGUGGCGAAGGCGUCUCACCAGAACGGACCUGACGGCAAGGGACGAAAGCUAGGGGCACGAACCGGAUUAGAUACCCGGGUAGUCCUAGCCGUAAACGAUACUCGCUAGGUGUCGGCCACGGUGCGACCGUUGUCGGUGCCGUAGGGAAGCCGUGAAGCGAGCCACCUGGGAAGUACGGCCGCAAGGCUGAAACUUAAAGGAAUUGGCGGGGG
rnacentral:rRNA from 1 species